rnacentral:rRNA from 1 species
UACAGAGGGUGCUAGCGUUGUUCGGAAUCAUUGGGCGUAAAGAGCUUGUAGGCGGUUUGUCGCGUCUGCUGUGAAAUUUCGGGGCUCAACCCCGAACUUGCAGUGGGUACGGGCAGACUAGAGUGUGGUAGGGGAGACUGGAAUUCCUGGUGUAGCGGUGAAAUGCGCAGAUAUCAGGAGGAACACCGGUGGCGAAGGCGGGUCUCUGGGCCGAUACUGACGCUGAGGAGCGAAAGCGUGGGGAGCGAACAGG